GUGUCAGCAGCCGCGGUAAGACGAACCGUGCAAACGUUGUUCGGAUUCACUGGGCUUAAAGGGCGCGUAGGCGGGCCAUCAAGUCAGGGGUGAAAUCUUUCGGCUCAACCGGAAAAGUGCCUUUGAUACUGGUGGUCUCGAGGGAGGUAGGGGCAUGCGGAACUUCCGGUGGAGCGGUGAAAUGCGUAGAUAUCGGAAGGAACGCCGGUGGCGAAAGCGGCGUGCUGGACCUCUUCUGACGCUGAGGCGCGAAAGCUAGGGGAGCAAACGGGAUUAGAUACCCCCGUAGUCC
rnacentral:rRNA from 1 species